CAGCCGCGGGAACACCGGCGGCCCGAGUGGUGAUCGUGAUUAUGGGUCUAAAGGGUCCGUAGCCGGUUUGGUCAGUCCUCCGGGAAAUCUGAUAGCUCAACUAUUAGGCUUUCGGGGGAUACUGCCAGACUUGGAACCGGGAGAGGUAAGAGGUACUACAGGGGUAGGAGUGAAAUCUUGUAAUCCCUGUGGGACCACCUGUGGCGAAGGCGUCUUACCAGAACGGGUUCGACGGUGAGGGACGAAAGCUGGGGGCACGAACCGGAUUAGAUACCCGGGUAGUCCCAGCCGUAAACGAUGCUCGCUAGGUGUCAGGCAUGGCGCGACCGUGUCUGGUGCCGCAGGGAAGCCGUGAAGCGAGCCACCUGGGAAGUACGGCCGCAAGGCUGAAACUUAAAGGAAUUGGCGGGGGAGCACAACAACGGGUGGAAGCCUGCGGUUUAAUUGGACUCAACGCCGGACAACUCACCGGGGGCGACAGCAAUAUGUAGGCCAAGCUGAAGACUUUGCCUGAAUCGCUGAGGGGUGGUGCAUGG
rnacentral:rRNA from 1 species